UACGUAGGGGGCGAGCGUUGUCCGGAUUUAUUGGGCGUAAAGAGCGUGUAGGCGGCCAGGUAGGUCUGCUGUGAAAACUCGAGGCUCAACCUCGAGACGUCGGCGGAAACCAUCUGGCUAGAGUCCGGAAGAGGAGAGUGGAAUUCCUGGUGUAGCGGUGAAAUGCGUAGAUAUCAGGAGGAACACCGGUGGCGAAGGCGGCUACCUGGACAGAAACUGACGCUGAGGCGCGAAAGCUAGGGGAGCAAACAGG
rnacentral:rRNA from 1 species